rnacentral:rRNA from 1 species
GACGAACGCUGGCGGCGUGCCUAAUACAUGCAAGUAGGACGCAGUUGCGAACGGGUGAGUAACGCGUAGGUAACUGCCUCUUAGAGGGGGAUAACUAUUGGAAACGAUAGCUAAUACCGCAUACUAGUAGAUGGACCUGCGUUGUAUUAGCUAGUAGGUAGGGUAAUGGCCUACCUAGGCGACGAUACAUAGCCGACGUGGGAGGGAGAGCGGGCACACUGGGACUGGGAAACGGCCCAGACUCCUACGGGAGGCAGAAGUAGGGAAACGUCGGCAAUUGGGGGAAGCCUGACCGAGAAAAGCCGCGUGAGUGUAGAAGGUUUUCGGAUCGUAAAGCUCUGUUGUGCAGGCAGCGGUACGUAACCAGAAAGGGACGGCUAACUACGUGCCAGCAGCCGCGGUAAUAC